CUGCCAGGGCAAAGUGAAUUUUCACGCCGUUUACUACAGGAACGUGGUCGAGCUCCUGGAGGUAUAGGUAACCUCAGUACACAGACAGAUUAUGUGACCUCUCAGUCUGUGGCAAUCCUGGAGAACCUUCUGCAGGCCUUCCCGACAGUGAAAUGCCUAACUGUGCUUUUCCCUGGAGUUUUCACCAUCAAGGAUGAUCUACCUAUUUUAAGAUUACACAGACAAUUAAAUGACCAAAUGGAGCAACAGUGUACGGCACAUGGUCUCCAAAAUGGUAGCUGAAGCUGAUCUAGGGGAUAACACCCUCUUUCUACAACUCCUUCUUCCAAGCUUCCAAACGUGACUUCAUACAAAAUGGACUAAUUUUACCUAUUCUCAGAGACGAAUACUCUGGAAGCCCGGUGCAAAACUUGUUACCUGGACACAUCCACUUAGGAAGAGAGGGAGCCAGAAGUAACUUGUGCAAAUUCAAAGUACUGCUGUGGUUUAAGAACCCAAAGAACAAAUUGCUGCCAACAAAGAGCAGUCGAACCAAAAGGCACACUGUGGUUCUGGAAGUAACCUUGAGAGGACAGUGAUGGCUUUGCUCUCUCUUUGAGCACACUCUGGCAUCAUUAACAGGAGCACUUUUGGGUCCAUCUAGAGCCUGUCUUCAAUCUCCGCAAUCUCAGGAAACUUGCAAAUCUCCUCUUCUUGCAUCCAGAGAUUCUAUCCCAGUUCAACUUCUUACUUUGGGGGUAUACUAUUUGAUUAAUUUCAUUUAAAAUAGGAAGAAAUAAGUCAAAACUGCUUUAAACAAAUAUAAAGAUUACAAUGGGUUAUUGAUACUGUUCUGCUAUACUGUAAUGGAUAAAUGCUAUGUAGUUUUCUUUAUGAUGUAUUUAAAAAUGCUUUAGGGUUCUUGAAACAUAAAUGCUUCAUCAAAAUAAAAACAAUAUGAUUAGAAAUUUCUUCUCAUUGGCAAAACUUUUUCACAGCUUUAAGUUUCCUAGUUGGAAAUAUUUCAGUAGUAAAAAGGGGAUAUGUCUAUAAUGUAUGAGGAAACAUGAAGAGAUUCUUGACUGAAAGAGACCUUGGAAGGCUUUGGUUCCUUGGGGCUGAAGGAAAACAUAUAUUUAGAAGCAAAGACAGAAUCCACUGGGUAAUUUCCACCGCCAAACGAUCUGCAAGACGUGUCCUUGGAAAUCAUGGCGAUAGGUCACUUCUUCCUUGGAGGUAUUCCAUACUUAAAAAUGGAGUGAGGAAUAGUGAACCCUUUAUCAGUGCUUUGAUAGAACUUGGAUAAGAUUCAGAAAAUGCAAAUCAUUCCAGAAGCCCCUCUCAACCCUUUCAGUGAAGAAAUCUUUGAUUGGGACUCACCACUUAAAAAGGGUGUGUGUGAAGGGAUCUUUGGAAGAUUUUCAACUUUUGAUGAGAUGGCUCCUUGGAUGGUUUUCAAGACCUGGAGGGGUCCAUAAUGAAGAAUCACGCUGCUUCCAUUAGUGUAUUUUUCCUCUUCAUGUUUGCAGACAACGCUGAGAAUCUGUCCAAUUUCUUCUUUGGCUAAGGUAGUCUUUAUUUUAAUGGAAAGGCUAGUCAACUUGGCAUGUUUGCAAAUGAGAAGAGUAAAUGAAAGCAAGUUACAUUUAGAUAAUUCUCAUAGCCAAUGGCAGAUAACUUUGUGUUUGCAACAGCUGCCCUGUUUUUUUCACAGUCGUUUACCGAAAGGAGUAGUAGAUUUGGAAAAUGAUGAAAAAAUAUGUCUUGUUUUACAGCUGUUAACCACCAGGUUAUUUUAUGGUUCACGUUGUGAAAGAAAUUUAGUUGGGAUAUGUAUAUUUUAAAAAAGGAGACUUAUGCCUUUAUAUAGUUCAUACAACUUAAUUAAUAUGUCACUUUUCAAAGCUCUGCAGUAUAUUUAAUUAGUAAUUAGGUUGAUGGGAAAGGUAUUAGUUUUGGGAGUUUCACCAACAAUCUUUGAUUUGCUCUUAAUUCAAAGACCAGAGAGUCUCCCUGUAUCUUAAUAUUGAAUUUUAUUUUCCCUUGAUCUUAUAGAUGUAGUAUUACAACAUGUCCCAAGAAUAUUUAGCUAUUAUUAUUUCAAUAGUUAAAGCACUAAACUUCUUACUGCAAUCUGGUUAAUUUGUUUGACCUAACUUUUGUGCUAUGUUUAUAAUAAGGACCAUUGUUCCUCACUAACUGCAAUAAUGAUAAGAAGAAAAAAAACCCCGCAGAAGUAA
rnacentral:lncRNA from 1 species